rnacentral:rRNA from 1 species
UACGAAGGGGGCUAGCGUUGCUCGGAAUUACUGGGCGUAAAGCGCACGUAGGCGGAUUGUUAAGUCGGGGGUGAAAUCCUGGAGCUCAACUCCAGAACUGCCUUUGAUACUGGCGAUCUUGAGUCCGGGAGAGGUGAGUGGAACUGCGAGUGUAGAGGUGAAAUGCGCAGAUAUCAGGAGGAACACCGGUGGCGAAGGCGGGUCUCUGGGCCGAUACUGACGCUGAGGAGCGAAAGCAUGGGUAGCGAACAGG